rnacentral:rRNA from 1 species
GACGAACGCUGGCGGCGUGCCUAAUACAUGCAAGUCGAACGGGGAGUAAUUACUUCGGUUUCUACUCCUAGUGGCGAACGGGUGAGUAACGCGUUGGUGACCUGCCCCGAAGAGGGGGAUAACAGUUCGAAAGGACUGCUAAUACCCCAUGUGGUCGUACAGGUUAGAGGCUGAACGACUAAAGGAGCAAUCCACUUCGGGAGGGGCCUGCGUCCCAUCAGCUAGUUGGUAAGGUAACGGCCUACCAAGGCGAUGACGGGUAGGGGACCUGAGAGGGUGGUCCCCCACACUGGCACUGUAACACGGGCCAGACACCUACGGGUGGCAGCAGUAGGGAAUAUUGCACAAUGGGCGAAAGCCUGGUGCAGCAACGCCGCGUGCGCGAAGAAGGCCUUCGGGUUGUAAAGCGCUUUUCUGGAGGAAGAGGAAGGACGGUACUCCAGGAAUAAGGAUCGGCUAACUACGUG